rnacentral:lncRNA from 1 species
GGGGCAGGGGCAAACCUUUGCAAAUGAAACAUAUUUUAUAUGAAAAUAAACACUGUCACAUUUGGAACUGAAAACAAAUUUUGCAUUAAUUUUUAAAAGAAGACUUUUCCGACUAUGGGCCACAUCCCCAGAUACUCCCUCUAUCUUCCAAAGUAUGCAUCUUCUUUGCCCUGUCCUUAACUGCUAUUGCAGAAGGAAGUCUGAGAAGCUGUGUAUAGGGGAAAGUGCAAACCUGGAGCCUCUGCCGCUGGGUUUGACUCCAGGGGCUGCCAGCACGAGCUGUUUCAUGUCAGUUACUGUACUAUACCGUAUAUUAUGUUAUGUACAAUGUCAGUUACUGCU